rfam:Ovis aries breed Texel chromosome 6, whole genome shotgun sequence.
UCCAGUCAGUAAAGAAUCUGCCUGUAAUGCAGGAAACCUGGGUUCGAAUCCUAGGUCUGGAA